UUACCAGCAAACGGGCAUUGCACAACCCCGGGAGUAAGGCUGCCCAGCAUGGUAACCACCCCAAGCAGGAGGGCAAUAAACACCCAAAGCAGUCCCUAUCACUAACAUUGGUAGGGCUGGUAGGCCUGAGGUAGAUCUUUAGCUCAAAAGGUGGCUCUCCAAAUUUUUGAUGGCAAGAGUGAAGAGUUACCAUCCCUGUGACUCAUCCAGGAGCUAUGACCAUCUACUGUGACUCAGCCAGUGGAAACAUUCUGUGAUGUCUGUUGCUAGGUGUUCACGUCCUAUGUCCUCACCCAGGAGGGACACUGGGCUGUCUCUAGGUCUUCUGCAGUCAGUUGCCUGCACUCUCUUUGCUCUGGCAAUGGGUGUAGCACAUGUGGUAGAGAGAAGCAUUUUGGCUGAAGGUAAGUCACAUUCUAACAGACUCCUGCUGCUGGAAUCUGUGAAGGACACAGCACAAGACAGCUUUGAGUAAAGCGACCACCGUUCAGCGCAGCUUCUAGUUUGUGUGAAGAAAGUGGCCUAGAUACUGUACCAUUCUAACCAGAUCAUAUUUAAAAUGGCCUUAAUCCUUCUGUGCAUCAAUGCCAAGACUCCCCCAUGUUGCAGGGGCAGGAUCCUGGUGAAUUUGACCACUAAAUCUAGCCUGUUCUCUGCUUCCUUCCACCUUGAAACUUUCAAUGGUCCUCAUGGGAGAUUUUUAAAAAAGGACUGUAGAAAUAAGGAGACGUGACCAAAGGAUCAAGAAACUUCAGCUUCUCUGUCAGUAUCCAAAUUAGUGGUUGCCUGUUCUGAAGAACUCAGAGAUACAGUAGAUACGGAGCUGCUCUGAAAAUCUGAUGGCAAGAUUGCUGUGGAAUUUGCUGGAUGCCAAAUGCUUUUAAAAAUAUGGUCCUUCCUUAAAUCUCCCUGUAAGUGCAUCUACCCUAUAGGAAAAUGGGCCAAUGAAUAGGAUAAAGGUUAGUGUCUUCCCCAAAUAAGGUCCAUCUGUCCUUUCUUCUCCAUCCUUUCUUCUUCAUCCAGCUGCCUGCUGCUCUGAUUUAGGCAUUGGACAAUUCUAAAGGC
rnacentral:lncRNA from 1 species